GGCAGGGUCUUCGUGCAACGCCCGUGCCAGGAGACUCCCCGCAAGCGGCCGGUGCCCGACAGGCUCUCCUGCUUCCGACGGGAAGAGGCGAGGCGAUCACGCUGCACCGGGGAAACUGCCCGGCCGAUCGCGGCGGGCAGCGGCCGCGGCUCCGCGGCGCCGCCCGGCCCCCGCUCCCCAGCCCCGGGCUCCGGCUCCGCCGCCGCCCCCCCGCCGCCCUGCCGGGAGCACCGUGGAAAACAAAAGCGGCCUUUUAAUUUAUUGUCCGGGGGGGGGAGGAGAGGGAGGGGCGGGCGGUGUGAAAGGAAAGCAAAGCCCGUUUUCUUCCAAGAAACGGCCGUUCUCCCCGGGAUCCCUCCGAGUCACCCUGGUGACAACCCCCCGCCAGCCAAAGCCGAACAAAAGCCGCGGUGCCCUCGGCCCCGCCGCUCCCCCGGGCCGAGCAACAGGCCGGGGAAGGCGGCGGAGGAGGGACCGGGAGGAGGGCUCGCCUACCGACUGGGGGAGAGGGGCAGCCCCUGCCUUAGAAGGAGACGUGGGACCGAGUCAGCGAGCGCCUUGUUUACCCUGCAAUUGCUCUAAAGCCCGAUCUUAAUCACAGGAUGAGAAACCAAAGCAGUUUAAAUCAGCCCCGGCGCAGCCCCCACGAACCCCAGCGAGGCGGGCAGAGCCAGCACAAGGUGGGCACUUUCUUCAGCCGCCUCUGCAAACUUUCCUCCAGCCCCGGCCGAGAGCGGCUCCGGCUGCAGCCGCGCCGCGUCUGGGCGAGCAACUGUUCCGAGGGUGUUUAAGUCCUUUUAAAUCAACUCCUACUUUUCCAGUCCGUAUCGAUUUCAAAUGCUACUUACUGGAAUAUGUGGCUCCAUGCGUGGUGCUUCUACCCGCUGGGAAACCAGCAGCAUCUUGGACUGGGGAUCAGCCGGCUUUUAGAUCCACUUUGGCUGUAUUUAGCAAAACCCAGCACCGCAAAGGACUCGCAGACUGUUUUCUCCUUUUAGGUUCCAGACAAGUUCAUCCUGGCGUUGCAGUUUGCUAAUGAUUCACUGUCUGUCUCAAUCUGCUCACUACAUUUCCAUCAACCCACAGCUUCCUCACUUAGAAGGUGGAGUUUGUGGGGUUUAAGUUACUGAUAGGCAUAUCUAAGUGCUGUGUCACUCAAAGAGGAGGAGACACACACACACACUCACACACACAUACACACACACACGCUCUCACACACGAACGGCUCCAGGCUUAAAGGGGAAGUAACACUUUCUUCAGAAACUGGAAACCUCACACAUCCAAGGAUUUUUUUUUUUUUUCUUCUGUGCAUGAAAGCGAAAAUCAUGCUGCUGCCUAUGGAGAGUAUAAGAACACGCGAAAAGCUGCUUCGCAUGUUUAGCACCUUCUUUGUAGAGCUUCAAGUUCAUUUAGUACAAAAGUAGGGUAGCUCAGAAAGGUAUGGGCAAUUAAUGUGUUUUUUGUUUUGUUUUUUUUUUUUUUUUGUCCAAAUCAAAGUGUACAAAUCACUCAAAAGAGAGCUCGAGGCCUAAAGUGGAAAGGUUUGAGUUACUCCUAAAAACUGUAGUUUGCUGUGUCUUUAUGCCAUUACGAUAGGAUAUUCAGCACUCUUAACACUCAUAAAAGGGUUAAACUCAUCUCACACAGGUGAACCCAGGUUACCAAGAAGGAAACAGUAGAGUUGUUUCGUUUUCACCCUUUGUGCUAUGUACAUGUAUUUUUGAAGACAAAUACAAUUCUGAAUAGAGAGCUCCCAUAAAACCAUGCACUUCUCAUAUGACUAUAAAUGUGCUUGUUACAAGCUGCCAUCUCUGAAUAUUAAUUUUGACAGACCAUCAAGUGAAAGCUGAGAACCUAUUCAGACCUCCUCUUGGAUUGUGCAGAAAGGACUGGGAAGAACAAGUUGCAGGCAGCUAGGAGAGCACACUGGGUCCACAAAUAAUUGCUGGUAUAAUUUCAUUUCGUUACCUUGCUGCAUCAGUAUGACCGUCACUCCUCUCCUGAUACAGUGGAGAUGCUAGAAACCCUGUCCCAGUACACCGACUCAAUGGAUGAGACGCAGAAGACAUGGCACCAUUUCUAAUAAAAUGUCUAAUUUUUUUAAUCCUUCCUAAAAUAGUAAUAUUAGUAAAUUAUGCUCUAUAAAAUUAAGAAGUUAGUUAAGUUAAACUCAAUUACUGCGGCCCAAUACAUACAAGUGGAGCCAGAACCUGGCCUCACUUUCCUGAAAGUUUUCCACACAGCAACCAUCUUCGACUUGCAGUUAACUUAGAGGCCAAAUCCAUCUUUGUAACGCGAGUUAAUAAAUAUCAGGAAUAUUAGUUCAUCAACAAAGAAAAAAAAUUGUUUUCACCUUUGCUGAAGCCUCUAGCUUUCCUGUGAGUGCUCUAACAACAGGCCCACUCCCCUGAGCUGUAUUUGUGUUACUUCGGUUUGGAUUGGUUGGAAGUUUAUUGGUUUUCUCAUGAUUUUGCCUUCUGUAUUAUUUAAAAUUACUUCAAUGUAUUUUUGUCUAUUGAAAAAAAGAAGCACAAAAAUAAUAAACUUGUGUGGGUGUCAGUACCCUGAA